GAGUUUGAUCCUGGCUCAGGAUGAACGCUGGCGGCGUGCCUAAUACAUGCAAGUCGAGCGAACCACUUCGGUGGGAAGCGGCGAACGGGUGAGUAACACGUAGGUGAUCUGCCCAUCAGACGGGGACAACGAUUGGAAACGAUCGCUAAUACCGGAUAGGACGAAAGUUUAAAGAUGCUCCUGGCAUCACUGAUGGAUGAGCCUGCGGCGCAUUAGCUAGUUGGUGGGGUAAAGGCCUACCAAGGCGACGAUGCGUAGCCGACCUGAGAGGGUGAACGGCCACACUGGGACUGAGACACGGCCCAGACUCCUACGGGAGGCAGCAGUAGGGAAUCUUCGGCAAUGGGCGAAAGCCUGACCGAGCAACGCCGCGUGAAUGAAGAAGGCCUUCGGGUUGUAAAAUUCUGUUAUAAGGGAAGAAAGGUGAUAGGAGGAAAUGACUAUCAAUUGACGGUACCUUAUGAGAAAGCCACGGCUAACUACGUGCCAGCAGCCGCGGUAAUACGUAGGUGGCAAGCGUUAUCCGGAAUUAUUGGGCGUAAAGAGCGCGCAGGUGGUUAAUUAAGUCUGAUGUGAAAGCCCACGGCUUAACCGUGGAGGGUCAUUGGAAACUGGUUGACUUGAGUGCAGAAGAGGGAAGUGGAAUUCCAUGUGUAGCGGUGAAAUGCGUAGAGAUAUGGAGGAACACCAGUGGCGAAGGCGGCUUCCUGGUCUGCAACUGACACUGAGGCGCGAAAGCGUGGGGAGCAAACAGGAUUAGAUACCCUGGUAGUCCACGCCGUAAACGAUGAGUGCUAAGUGUUGGGGGUCGAACCUCAGUGCUGAAGUUAACGCAUUAAGCACUCCGCCUGGGGAGUACGGUCGCAAGACUGAAACUCAAAGGAAUUGACGG
rnacentral:rRNA from 1 species